GGCACUAUUGACUUGAUCAUGUGAGUGUGUGCAGGUACCACAUCCUCCUUCACAACGGGUACAACCGCCAUCUACCAACCAACAGUGCAUACAUAACAACUUACCAACAACCUUAUCGUGCAGAUUUUAGGUCCGGAUUACCUACCUUAAACAUCUUCUAGAAGAGAGUAUCAAUUAAACUCCUCUUUAACUAACCGGUCUUCUUC
rnacentral:lncRNA from 1 species